CUUUUAAAUUAAAUACACUUAUCUCGAAUAAUUUCUCCAGUAUCAAAAUGAUACAGGGAGAAUUUCAUAAAUAAUCUGUAUUUCUUUAAGAAU